AUUGAACGCUGGCGGCAUGCCUUACACAUGCAAGUCGAACGGUAACAGGUCUUCGGAUGCUGACGAGUGGCGAACGGGUGAGUAAUACAUCGGAACGUGCCCAGACGUGGGGGAUAACGAGGCGAAAGCUUUGCUAAUACCGCAUACGAUCUAAGGAUGAAAGCAGGGGACCGCAAGGCCUUGCGCGUUUGGAGCGGCCGAUGGCAGAUUAGGUAGUUGGUGGGAUAAAAGCUUACCAAGCCGACGAUCUGUAGCUGGUCUGAGAGGACGACCAGCCACACUGGGACUGAGACACGGCCCAGACUCCUACGGGAGGCAGCAGUGGGGAAUUUUGGACAAUGGGCGAAAGCCUGAUCAAGCAAUGCCGCGUGCAGGAUGAAGGCCUUCGGGUUGUAAACUGCUUUUGUACGGAACGAAAAGGCUCUGGCUAAUACCUGGGGCACAUGACGGUACCGUAAGAAUAAGCACCGGCUAACUACGUG
rnacentral:rRNA from 1 species